UCCCGGCGGUCCGAGUCGCAUCCACAAUUAUUGGGUCUAAAACAUUCGUAGCUUGUUUUGUAAGUCUCUUGUGAAAUCUCAUAUCUCAAGUAUGAGGCGUGCAAGAGAUACUGCUUAACUAGAGACUGGAAGACGCAAAGAGUACGAUGGAGGUAGUGGUAAAAUAUGUUAAUCUUCAUCGGACUAACAAUGGCGAAGGCACUUUGCGAGUACAGAUCUGACAGUGAGGAAUGAAGGCUAGGGGC
rnacentral:rRNA from 1 species